rnacentral:rRNA from 1 species
AUGUCGGCGCCGGUAGAUCUUGAUCGAUUUCCCGUCAUCUUGCUCGUCGGGCGUAGCGUGUCCUCAUCCCUAGCCCGUGUAUCAUCCGCGUACACGCCGCCGGUGCUGUGUGUUGUGUGGAGGAGGAAGAGGGCGAGAUGGUGGCGGCGGCGGUGGAUCUCGCCUCACCUCGCGGUCCACGGUGGCGGAGGUGCGUCGCGUCGGAGGAUGGCUGGAGGCGUUGAUACGCAUGCCACCCGCAGCAUAGCAUCCCAUCCACAAGGCUGUCAUUAUGUACAAUUAUUACCACCAAAACUCUUCCUCAAGUCGCUUCCUGUUGAAGAAGAUUUGCUCACGCACUUGAGUAUGCUCUGUAAGCGUGAGAGCAAGCCUGAGAACAGUGGGAGGUUAUAUACUUGUGACAAAGCAGCAGUACAGGCUUGUGAGAUCGCUGAAGGACUCGACGCGAGCAAAGAUUCUCCAGACAUGGCAGCGUGGCCAAUCUCGAAAACCCAGGGUGUCUGGUCAUUCAUAGAGAAGGAAUUUGAUGAAGCAUCCAGUAGCAAUAGGAUAGCAGUCCAGAAAUCGGCGAAUAAUCGAACCUGUGUUGCGGUGGACGGAGCAGAUACGCCUCAGGAACUAGCAUUGUCAGAAGUGGAGCGUAGAACAGAAGAAGAAUGUGAAUCAGAGUUUAUGUACAUGCAUUUUCUGCUUGAUCCAUCUGUGCAUCGUUUGCUGCUCAUUAUGUUUUUCCUCUUUGACAGUAUGACUGGUCCGGUCUUUGCAAAUCAUCAAUUCCUGAAAAUAACUUCUCUUGUUGAGUACUAUCACAUUCUUCCAUAUAAAGAUGUUUUGUCUGAACUCCUGCACAGGAAAUGGCCAGAAACACUAACUGUCCCUACAACGAUGAACGGUGCUUUGCCAUGGCAGAAUAUGGAACUCUGCAAGGAACACAUACUUCAAAACCAAAGUGCUGAGUGUGAUAUGGACAUUCAGAGAAUCCGGAAUGAAGGGCUGAUGACAGCAAAAGUGUUGUCAGACAAGUAUAAGAAUGGUUUCCCAAAGAUGGAAGUUGCGACUUCGUCUUGCUCUGGAGAUGGCGGUCGCCCAAAGAAGAAGACACUGAGGGCGAGCCUUGAAUUCAGGAAAUACGUGGAGCUUGAUGAGAUCUGCCGUGAUUGCUACUGUAUAUCUCCAAGAUACACAGUAUUACCUUCAAUAACAGAUGGAACGUACACCGCCAGUGUACGUCUUAGAUGCCCUGAUGCUAAGAUGACCAUCUAUGGAGGCCCUCACGAGACCCCACUCGAGGCGAGGUGCUCUGCAGCUGCCAAUAUGAUACAGGAGCUUUGCAAGGCGUAG